rnacentral:rRNA from 1 species
UACGGAGGGUGCAAGCGUUGUCCGGAAUCACUGGGCGUAAAGGGCGCGUAGGCGGCUCAUGAAGUCUGUGGUGAAAGUCCGGGGCUCAACCUCGGAUCGGCCGUGACGACUCGUGGGCUGGAGCACUGUAGAGGCGGGUGGAAUUCCGGGUGUAGCGGUGGAAUGCGUAGAGAUCUCCAAGAACACCAGUUGCGAAGGCGGCUGACUGGACCCAUAUUGACGCUGAGGCUCGAAAGCAUGGGGAGCAAACAGG